rnacentral:rRNA from 1 species
GCCCCGGUAAACGGCGGCCGUAACUAUAACGGUCCUAAGGUAGCGAAAUUCCUUGUCGGGUAAGUUCCGACCUGCACGAAUGGCGUAAUGAUGGCCAGGCUGUCUCCACCCGAGACUCAGUGAAAUUGAACUCGCUGUGAAGAUGCAGUGUACCCGCGGCAAGACGGAAAGACCCCGUGAACCUUUACUAUAGCUUGACACUGAACAUUGAGCCUUGAUGUGUAGGAUAGGUGGGAGGCUUUGAAGUGUGGACGCCAGUCUGCAUGGAGCCGACCUUGAAAUACCACCCUUUAAUGUUUGAUGUUCUAACGUUGGCCCGUAAUCCGGGUUGCGGACAGUGUCUGGUGGGUAGUUUGACUGGGGCGGUCUCCUCCUAAAGAGUAACGGAGGAGCACGAAGGUUGGCUAAUCCUGGUCGGACAUCAGGAGGUUAGUGCAAUGGCAUAAGCCAGCUUGACUGCGAGCGUGACGGCGCGAGCAGGUGCGAAAGCAGGUCAUAGUGAUCCGGUGGUUCUGAAUGGAAGGGCCAUCGCUCAACGGAUAAAAGGUACUCCGGGGAUAACAGGCUGAUACCGCCCAAGAGUUCAUAUCGACGGCGGUGUUUGGCACCUCGAUGUCGGCUCAUCACAUCCUGGGGCUGAAGUAGGUCCCAAGGGUAUGGCUGUUCGCCAUUUAAAGUGGUACGCGAGCUGGGUUUAGAACGUCGUGAGACAGUUCGGUCCCUAUCUGCCGUGGGCGCUGGAGAACUGAGGGGGGCUGCUCCUAGUACGAGAGGACCGGAGUGGACGCAUCACUGGUGUUCGGGUUGUCAUGCCAAUGGCACUGCCCGGUAGCUAAAUGCGGAAGAGAUAAGUGCUGAAAGCAUCUAAGCACGAAACUU